ensembl:snoRNA small nucleolar RNA SNORA13
UGCCUUUGUGUUGCCCGUUCAUUGUCUCCAUAGUGAAUGAGGUGUCUACCAAGGCAAACAGUAACCUUGUUGGUUGUCUGUGUUUAAAAGUAGUCUUCACCGAUUCCUUUAAACUGCAACUACAAGAACACGA